rnacentral:rRNA from 1 species
CCGCGUGAGGGAUGAAGGAUUUUGGUCUGUAAACCUCUUUUCUCAAGAAAGAAGUUCUGACGGUACUUGAGGAAUAAGCAUCGGCUAACUCCGUGCCAGCAGCCGCGGUAAUACGGGGGAUGCAAGCGUUAUCCGGAAUCAUUGGGCGUAAAGCGCCUGUAGGUUGUUUAGUAAGUCUGUUGUUAAAGACCAGGGCUUAACCCUGGGAAAGCAAUGGAAACUACUAGACUUGAGUAUGGCAGGGGUAGAGGGAAUUUCUAGUGUAGCGGUGAAAUGCGUAGAUAUUAGAAAGAACACCGGCGGCGAAAGCGCUCUACUGGACCAUUACUGACACUCAGAGGCGAAAGCUAGGGGAGCAAAAGGGAUUAGAUACCCCUGUAGUCCUAGCCGUAAACGAUGGAUACUAGAUGUUGCGCAAUUUGUGCAGUAUCUUAGCUAACGCGUUAAGUAUCCC